GUUUUAAUAGUUUAAAAAAAACAUUGGUCUUGUAAAUCAAAAUUAAGAAUUUUUUCUUUUUAAACU
rnacentral:tRNA from 1 species